ensembl:lncRNA
CACAUGGAUAGGCUCAGACUUCAAAUAAAAGCUAUUUGGAUGGUUCUUCCUGUCAGCCUGGUCCCACAGCCUCGUGAUCCCCCAAAUAAACACACAGAUGCUAUAUUAAUUAUGAAACUGUUGGCCAGUGGCUUGGGCUUCUUAUUGGCUACCUCUGUCUUAAUUAUUAACCCAUUUCUAUCAAUCUAUGUAUUACUACGAGGCUGUGGCUUACCCGGUAAUGCCCGGCAUGGUGUUACUUCUUCAGCAGCAUCGAGACUGUGUAGCGGGCUCACUCUGCUUGACUUUCCCAGAAUUCUCGUCCUCCUAGUUCCACCUAUUUUCAUGCCUUAUUGGCCAACAGUGUUUUAUUCAUCAACCAAUAAGAGAAACAUAAAGGUCUUCUCCCAUCACCAGACUUGUGUUUGAAAAUGUUGCCACAUGAUUCUAACACCCAGCCAUCAACCUUCCAAAAUGACACCUCGGACAUGGGUGAGUGAGGAGGCCCUGCCCCACUGCACCCUGUCUGGUGCUGAAAAUAUUUAGUAAAGCAAGGUCUCCAGUGAUUAGAAUCACUCUGAAAACAAGUGUUGGGGCCAUAUAGAUGCAGUGUUUCCAGAAAGAUUGAACUAUCUUUUUUGUUUUUGUUUUGUUUUGUUUUGUUUUUUGUUUUUCGAGACAGGGUUUCUCUGUGGCUUUGGAGGCUGCCCUGGAACUAGCUCUUGUAGACCAAGCUGGUCUCAAACUCAGAGAGAUCCGCCUGCCUCUGCCUCCCAAGUGCUGGGAUUAAAGGCGUGUGCCACCAAUGCCUGGCAAGACUGAACUAUCUUAAGAGGGAAGGUCCAUGCUAAAUGUGGGUGCCACCAUGCCAUGGGCUGAGGUUCUAGACUGAAUAUAAUGGGGGAAAAUAGGGAAAUCAGUUGGUGACCAGAAGUCAUCACUUUGUUUCCUAACAGUAGACACUGUGUGACUAGUCCCCUCGUGGUCCUGCCAUCAUGACUUCCCUGCAAUGAUGGACUAUAUCUCUACUCAAACUGAAAACUUAAUUAAACUCAUCUUUUCUUUAAAUUGUUUUAGUCAGGUAUUUUUGUCGUAACAAUGAAAAAUGUAACCAAUAUAAUCAACUCCUGCUACUCUGUGUAGCAAAGGCCAACCAGGAAGUGGUCCCAAUCAUCCAAUGUGUUCAGAACUGGGCUCCAUGUCCUGUCUACCAUUGGUUUGGUCACUCGAUGCUCCCCACUUUCCCGCUUCUUGAAGGACUGUGCCCAUGCUCUCAGCACACAAUGGCUGAUUCUGCCUUUAGUAUAUUGUUGCUUCCAGCUAAGAGUAAAUACUACCUGGAUCACAGGGUGCCUGCAAACAUCAAGGCUUUGCUUCACCUACAAACAAGGACAACUGCUUCAUAAAACAUACUGCUGUAUUCAAGAAAUCUUGGUUAAUUUUGUUUUUCUUCUAGCCUACUGCCUGAAGAAUAUCCCCAGAAAGGGAUAUUUAACCUGGCCUUUCCCAUCAUAAGAAGAUUCCAUAUCCAUCAGCCAGAUAGGCCAGGUUCCUAGCAACCUGACACUUUCUUCCUCUCCAGAUCUGCUGCUUUUCCAGUGGUUCUUCUUGUUCCUUCUCUCUGGAGAAAGAAUACCUUGGGGUGUUCAUGAUGCUACCUGUACCUGUCUGGGUUGCAGAGUGUCUGUGUGGAUAGUGUGUGUUGUGGCCAAUAUUUCACUAUGCUCCCUUUUCUCCAUUUUGGAACAAUAAUGUAUAUCCUGUGCCAUUAAAUGUUGGAAGUAUGUGAUCUGCUUCUUCAUUGUUUUGCAGGGGAUUACAGUUAAGAGAUUGCACGAGUCUCAGAAGAGACUUUGAACUUUGGAAUUUUAAGCAAAUUUGAGACAAUUAUAGACUGUGCAGACUUGUGAAGUUAGACUGAAUGCAUUUCCGUAUUAUGGUAUGGCUACAAGCCUAGGGGUGCCAGAAAGUGGAAUAUGGUGGUUUCGAUAGGAAUGGCCAUGUAGAUUCAUAUGUUUGAAUACUUGGCCCAUAGGGAGUGGCAGUAUUAGGGAGUAUGGCCUUAUUGAUGUAGGUGUGGCCUUGUUGGAAGAAGUGUGUCACUGUGGGACAGUUUUUGAGGUCCCAUAUACUCAAGUUACACUGUGGCUCAUAGUCUCUUCCUGCUUCCUGUGAAUCAAGAUGUAGAACUCUCAGACACCUCUCCAGCACCAUGUCUGCCUGCAUGCUGCCAUGCUUCUCACUGUAACAAUAUGGACUAAGCCUCUGAAUCUGGAAGCCAGCCCCAAUUAAAUGUUUUCCUUUAGAAGAGUUGCUGUGGUCAUGGUGUCUCUUUACAGCAAUAGAAACCCUAACUAAGACAAGUCAGCAGCUAAGGUUUGUAAUGUCUCUCAAAAUGAACAGUCCCAGGAUUUAUGCAUAGGUUACCCCCAAAAGUUAUUCAACACUAUGGCCUCAAUUCUUGAAAAAAUCUCUUAAUCCAACCAUUUUCUACAGAACUACUUAGUUUCCCAGUAUCAGAAUUUACAGAGGAUUUUGUGCCCACACUAUCCGUAUUUGUAUUUAGUGUGGUAGAGAAUCAUUGCAAGUGAAGACUGCUGAUAAUUACUGAGUGUCUCCGGUUGUCAGCUGAGGGUGGAGGUGGAAGUGGGCUGCAAUGAAAUGCCUGGAGUACCUAGAAAUAAACUCUUUAAGUCACAGCUGGGCAGAGAGAUAGAGCCCAUGGAGAAUGCUGUGUUUAUCCCGAUGUGGCCAGAGGGCGAGGGAUGUUCUUGAAAUGGGAACCUUAAUGACCCCCCAGUGCAGAACCAGCUCACAGGGCAAUUUUAUAACUGCUGUGGACCCACCUCAUUCACAGUGCUUUACAGCCUGGUCUGUACAUCGUUACUGCCAUGAGAGGUGUGGAAGUAACUGAGAAUCACUUCUGUGCUGGCUUUUAAAGGAUGGUGGGAGCUAUUGAGUCAGUCUGAGAUCUCUGCAGUGGACUGGGAAGACACAUAAUCAGGUGUAAGUUUGAUGACUUUCUCAGGAAAUGGUAUUUGAUGCUCAUGAUACAUAAGGAUGUCUGUUAAAGAAAUGCUCUCUAGGCCUCUAACUAUCUCAGCAAAGCAAAGGAAAACAACAACAACAACAACAACAACAAAAACCAAUGCUACUGAAGAGAAUUCAUCAUUC